UCCUUGUUCUGCAACUGACACUGUUGUUCCUUUGAGUACGGCCGCUCGGCUGCCUAACUCUACUAUACUGGCGACAAGGAUGGGAUCCGGUCGGCUUUCCACGUGCUUCUGUUGCUGCUGAAGUCAAGACGGCGGCUGCGUGGGCGUCACUGCAAUGGCGAAGGAGUACCAAGACUUCUUCGAUGCUUGCGGUAUCCGGCGCACCUACAGCCCGCCGUACCACCCUGAAUCAAUGGGGAUGCUGAAAGAGCAGUGCAAACUGUUAAGAGGAGCCUUCGCAAGCAGCUAAUGCACGGCAAGGGGAGUAACAGCAGGCUGCUGAGGGAGAGACUGGACGACUUCUUGCUUGCCUAUCGGACCACUCCUAACACGGCAACAGGCAAGUGUCCCGCCGAACUGUUUCUGAAGCGAACGCUGUGCACGAAGUUGUCCUUACUGAGGCCAUCGUUUC